rnacentral:rRNA from 1 species
GAUGAACGCUGGCGGCGUGCUUAACACAUGCAAGUCGAACGAAGCACUUAAUGAGAUUUCUUCGGAUUGAUUAUUUUGUGACUGAGUGGCGGACGGGUGAGUAACGCGUGGGUAACCUGCCCCCAGACCGGGGGGAUAACAGUCGGAAACGACUGCUAAUACCGCAUAAGCGCACAGUGCCGCAUGGCACGGUGUGAAAAACUCCGGUGGUCUGGGAUGGACCCGCGUCCGAUUAGUUAGUUGGUGGGGUAACGGCCCACCAAGACUGCGAUCGGUAGCCGACCUGAGAGGGUGACCGGCCAC